rnacentral:rRNA from 1 species
AUAAUGGGUCAGCGACUUAUAUUCUGUAGCAAGGUUAACCGAAUAGGGGAGCCGAAGGGAAACCGAGUCUUAACUGGGCGUUAAGUUGCAGGGUAUAGACCCGAAACCCGGUGAUCUAGCCAUGGGCAGGUUGAAGGUUGGGUAACACUAACUGGAGGACCGAACCGACUAAUGUUGAAAAAUUAGCGGAUGACUUGUGGCUGGGGGUGAAAGGCCAAUCAAACCGGGAGAUAGCUGGUUCUCCCCGAAAGCUAUUUAGGUAGCGCCUCGUGAAUUCAUCUCCGGGGGUAGAGCACUGUUUCGGCAAGGGGGUCAUCCCGACUUACCAACCCGAUGCAAACUGCGAAUACCGGAGAAUGUUAUCACGGGAGACACACGGCGGGUGCUAACGUCCGUCGUGAAGAGGGAAACAACCCAGACCGCCAGCUAAGGUCCCAAAGUCAUGGUUAAGUGGGAAACGAUGUGGGAAGGCCCAGACAGCCAGGAUGUUGGCUUAGAAGCAGCCAUCAUUUAAAGAAAGCGUAAUAGCUCACUGGUCGAGUCGGCCUGCGCGGAAGAUGUAACGGGGCUAAACCAUGCACCGAAGCUGCGGCAGCGACGCUGAUGCGUUGUUGGGUAGGGGAGCGUUCUGUAAGCCUGUGAAGGUGUGCUGUGAGGCAUGCUGGAGGUAUCAGAAGUGCGAAUGCUGACAUAAGUAACGAUAAAGCGGGUGAAAAGCCCGCUCGCCGGAAGACCAAGGGUUCCUGUCCAACGUUAAUCGGGGCAGGGUGAGUCGACCCCUAAGGCGAGGCCGAAAGGCGUAGUCGAUGGGAAACAGGUUAAUAUUCCUGUACUUGGUGUUACUGCGAAGGGGGGACGGAGAAGGCUAUGUUGGCCGGGCGACGGUUGUCCCGGUUUAAGCGUGUAGGCUGGUUUUCCAGGCAAAUCCGGAAAAUCAAGGCUGAGGCGUGAUGACGAGGCACUACGGUGCUGAAGCAACAAAUGCCCUGCUUCCAGGAAAAGCCUCUAAGCAUCAGGUAACAUCAAAUCGUACCCCAAACCGACACAGGUGGUCAGGUAGAGAAUACCAAGGCGCUUGAGAGAACUCGGGUGAAGGAACUAGGCAAAAUGGUGCCGUAACUUCGGGAGAAGGCACGCUGAUAUGUAGGUGAAGUCCCUCGCGGAUGGAGCUGAAAUCAGUCGAAGAUACCAGCUGGCUGCAACUGUUUAUUAAAAACACAGCACUGUGCAAACACGAAAGUGGACGUAUACGGUGUGACGCCUGCCCGGUGCCGGAAGGUUAAUUGAUGGGGUCAGCGCAAGCGAAGCUCUUGAUCGAAGCCCCGGUAAACGGCGGCCGUAACUAUAACGGUCCUAAGGUAGCGAAAUUCCUUGUCGGGUAAGUUCCGACCUGCACGAAUGGCGUAAUGAUGGCCAGGCUGUCUCCACCCGAGACUCAGUGAAAUUGAACUCGCUGUGAAGAUGCAGUGUACCCGCGGCAAGACGGAAAGACCCCGUGAACCUUUACUAUAGCUUGACACUGAACAUUGAGCCUUGAUGUGUAGGAUAGGUGGGAGGCUUUGAAGUGUGGACGCCAGUCUGCAUGGAGCCGGCCUUGAAAUACCACCCUUUAAUGUUUGAUGUUCUAACGUUGACCCGUGAUCCGGGUUGCGGACAGUGUCUGGUGGGUAGUUUGACUGGGGCGGUCUCCUCCUAAAGAGUAACGGAGGAGCACGAAGGUUGGCUAAUCCUGGUCGGACAUCAGGAGGUUAGUGCAAUGGCAUAAGCCAGCUUGACUGCGAGCGUGACGGCGCGAGCAGGUGCGAAAGCAGGUCAUAGUGAUCCGGUGGUUCUGAAUGGAAGGGCCAUCGCUCAACGGAUAAAAGGUACUCCGGGGAUAACAGGCUGAUACCGCCCAAGAGUUCAUAUCGACGGCGGUGUUUGGCACCUCGAUGUCGGCUCAUCACAUCCUGGGGCUGAAGUAGGUCCCAAGGGUAUGGCUGUUCGCCAUUUAAAGUGGUACGCGAGCUGGGUUUAGAACGUCGUGAGACAGUUCGGUCCCUAUCUGCCG